GGAUAAAACGCGGAAACGGAACGGAUUGGCAGAACGGGAAUGGUGGAACCGGAAAAGCGGAAACGAAAAAGAGGGUAAAACGCGGAAAAAAGGGUAAAACGCGGAAGAGGGUAAAACGUGGAGAAGAGGGUAAAACGUGGAAAAGAGGGUAAAACGUGGAAAAGAGGUUAAAACACGGAAAAGAGAGUAAAACGCGGAAAGGAGGGUAAAACGCGGAAAAGAGGGUAAAACGCGGAAAAGAGGGUAAAACACGGAAAAAAGGGCAAAACGCGGAAAACAAACUUUGAAACCAAACU